rnacentral:lncRNA from 1 species
CUUUGUUAGCUAUUUAUUUCCCAACUAUAGUUGCAUGCAGUCCUAUGGGAUGAGAAUGUGAAAGCAAAUGUUAGAAAAUGAAAGAAAUGGUACAAAAUGUGAUGGUCCAUUUUAUGUAUAAUGAAUAUGAAAUCACAAAUGAAAAGUCUUUCCAUUUUCACUUUAUUUCCAAAAAGAUUGGGCAGGACAUGUGCAACAGUGCCUGAAAUGGCCCCUCUUUCCCUC